ACAGGGAUUGCCCUAGUAACGGCGAGUGAAGCGGCAACAGCUCAAAUUUGAAAUCUGGCGUCUUUGGCGUCCGAGUUGUAAUUUGCAGAGGGCGCUUUGGCAUUGGCAGCGGUCCAAGUUCCUUGGAACAGGACGUCACAGAGGGUGAGAAUCCCGUACGUGGUCGCUAGCCUUUACCGUGUAAAGCCCCUUCGACGAGUCGAGUUGUUUGGGAAUGCAGCUCUAAAUGGGAGGUAAAUUUCUUCUAAAGCUAAAUACUGGCCAGAGACCGAUAGCGCACAAGUAGAGUGAUCGAAAGAUGAAAAGCACUUUGGAAAGAGAGUUAAAAAGCACGUGAAAUUGUUGAAAGGGAAGCGCUUGCAGCCAGACUUGCCUGUAGUUGCUCAUCCGGGUUUUUACCCGGUGCACUCUUCUAUAGGCAGGCCAGCAUCAGUUUGGGCGGUUGGAUAAAGGUCUCUGUCAUGUACCUCUCUUCGGGGAGAACUUAUAGGGGAGACGACAUGCAACCAGCCUGGACUGAGGUCCGCGCAUCUGCUAGGAUGCUGGCGUAAUGGCUGUAAGCGGCCCGUCUUGAAACACGGACCAAGGAGUCUAACAUCUAUGCGAGUGUUUGGGUGUCAAGCCCGAACGCGUAAUGAAAGUGAACGGAGGUGGGAACCUUUCGGGGUGCACCAUCGACCGAUCCUGAUGUCUUCGGAUGGAUUUGAGUAAGAGCAUAGCUGUUGGGACCCGAAAGAUGGUGAACUAUGCUUGAAUAGGGUGAAGCCAGAGGAAACUCUGGUGGAGGCUCGCAGCGGUUCUGACGUGCAAAUCGAUCGUCAAAUUUGGGCAUAGGGGCGAAAGACUAAUCGAACUAUCUAGUAGCUGGUUC
rnacentral:rRNA from 1 species